AUCCAGCUUACUAGUCCCAAAUAGGACGAAACGCGCAUCCUGAAU
rnacentral:hammerhead_ribozyme from 1 species